GAUCUAAGGGGGGGGGGGGGGGGCAAAGCUUGUUAAUCUGGAAAGAAUACAAGCAUCAAUUUCAAGCGCUUAUAGGGAAUCAAGCGGGCUUGUUAAGGUCGUAAGUUGGACAAUUAUCCCGUGUUAGGUUCGGUCAGAUUAGUCCUACACAAAAUUGAUCCAAUCAUGUGAAAACAAAUGUAUUCUGAUUUUUGUCGCAGAUAUUUCUGGUCUACGCACUCCAGUGCCCGCACAACUGAUAUUGAAACACCUGAUUUUCCCAUAUUCUACAGCGACAAAUUUCCUGAUAUUUUACAACCAUGAAGAACUCGUACUCGAAAAUACUUGCAAUGCUCAUCUGCUUGCAGAUUAUCUUUAUCACUUUCUUCCCGUUAGGGGCUGCGUCUUUAAGAGGAAACUGUACUGAUCUCGAAGGAAAAGUUGUCUCGCAUGGAAUGAUGUAUGUGCCGGGACCUUCGAUUUGCAGUCAAUGCUUCUGUUACCAUUCGGAGCCAAAAUGGUGCCAGGCUAUCUUCUGUUCACCUCCUUUGGUAAGUAUAUGCUCAUUCUAAGAGCAACCAGCUUAACACAACCAUGAGAAACUAAAGUACACCGUUAACGCUUGCAUGCUAGUCGUUAAAACACAUGCUGCGCGAAUAGGGUACACAGCGAUUCAUUUAACUCGCCUUGAAUUAGUUUUAGAAAGACAAACAUGGACAGGGAUAAUUUUUGUCACGAGCCGUUUAAUUUAAUCGUUCAUUAGAACGAAUUAAUUUACACCUGCUGAGAUCGCGAUUGAUGUGACAAAUUCGAAAUCUUCUUCCAUAUGAAUAUUUUUAAACAAGCACGUCGUAAGCUUUGUAUAUUUUUUAAUCGCAACGAAACUGUUCAGAGAAAUGCUGAAAUUAUUAAUCUAUUCCUCUGUACAUUUGACAUUUCUGUAUUAUUACUUGUGUACUGUCUGCUCUUGUUUACGUCAUCGGAAGUAAAAAUACGUUAAGCGAAUCAGCUAAUCUACUUGAGCGAUUCAAUGGCUCGGUCUUCUCUUAUGCGACUACCAAGUAAUAGAUAACUUCUUGGUUAUAUAACAUUUUAUAACAUCCAAAUUAACUUUUUUUUCUUUUUUUCCCUUUUUCUUUUUCUUUUUUUCCCUUUUUCUUUUUCUUUUUUUUCCCUUUUUCUUUUUCUUUUUUCUCCCCUUUUUCUUUUUCUUUUUUUUCCUUUCUCUUUUUCUUUUUUUUUCCUUUUUCUUUUUCUUUUUUUUUUUCGUGGAGAAAAUUCGCUCGGACACGAAGACACUUCUUAAGUGGCGUGGCAGUGAACAUCCAAAUUAAUUAUUUUUUUUCUUUUUCUUUUUUUUUCCUUUCUCUUUUUCUUUUUUUUUCUUUUUCUUUUUCUUUUUUUUUUUACGUGGGGAAAAUUCGCUCGGACACGAAGCCACUUCUUAAGUGGCGUGGUAGUGAACAUCCAAAUUAACUGUUUUUUUUCUUUUUCUUUUUUUUCCUUUCUCUUUUUCUAUUUUUUUUCCUUUUUCUUUUUCUUUUUUUUUUCCUUUCUCUUUUUCUUUUUUU
rnacentral:misc_RNA from 1 species